ACAGAUCAUAUUUUCUAAUUGUUGAGGGAAAAAAUCAUUAUGAACUUUCUUAGAAAAAAGUAAAGGGUAAAAGAAUUUGCAAGCCAAAGUUCUUGAAAGUAAGAGACCCAUUAGAAAGGCUUUGUUAUCUUUGUAUUUGGUGAUGAGAAAAAGGAAAGAGAGAAUAAGAAGAAAAUGUUUGUUGUUAUUGUUAUUAUUGUUAUUAUAAUUAUAAUUAUGAUAAGAAGAUUUAGAUGAAGAGGUUGUAAUAAGAAACAUGAAUGUGUUGUGUUGUGUUUGAAACAACCUAAGAGAUGUGUGGGGAUAUAUAUGUAUCUACCUGUUCGUGAACACGUGUCUGCGCGUGGAAGUUACUAUUUCAUUCAAACACACAAAACCCGCAUGGACCAGUGCGUUUACUCACGCGCAUUUAUUCAUCAAAGUAAACGUUAUACUUUUAUUUAUUUAUUUAUAUUGGAUUUUAAAAAAUGCAAUAUCAAUCUAGACUGGAUUCGAGGUAAUGCUAUCAAACAACCGCUUUAGGUUUUUAUGAAAAUAAAAAAUUUACAAUUUAUCAAAUAAAUAUUUUACUUCAUAAAAAUCAUUAUGAACUUUCUUAGAAAAAAGUAAAGGGUAAAAGAAUUUGCAAGCCAAAGUUCUUGAAAGUAAGAGACCCAUUAGAAAGGCUUUGUUAUCUUUGUAUUUGGUGAUGAGAAAAAGGAAAGAGAGAAUAAGAAGAAAAUGUUUGUUGUUAUUGUUAUUAUUGUUAUUAUAAUUAUAAUUAUGAUAAGAAGAUUUAGAUGAAGAGGUUGUAAUAAGAAACAUGAAUGUGUUGUGU
rnacentral:lncRNA from 1 species